GGCUCAGGACGAACGCUGGCGGCGUGCUUAACACAUGCAAGUCGAACGAAGCACUUUAUUUGAUUUCCUUCGGGACUGAUUAUUUUGUGACUGAGUGGCGGACGGGUGAGUAACGCGUGGGUAACCUGCCUUGUACAGGGGGAUAACAGUUGGAAACGGCUGCUAAUACCGCAUAAGCGCACGGCAUCGCAUGAUGCAGUGUGAAAAACUCCGGUGGUAUAAGAUGGACCCGCGUUGGAUUAGCUAGUUGGUGAGGUAACGGCCCACCAAGGCGACGAUCCAUAGCCGACCUGAGAGGGUGACCGGCCACAUUGGGACUGAGACACGGCCCAAACUCCUACGGGAGGCAGCAGUAGG
rnacentral:rRNA from 1 species